GGUCGGUUGGCGUAGUGGUCAACGCGCCCACACUCUUGUUUGAUGAGGAAGCUUUGCACGGAACGGCAAAACCUUCCUCAACUAAUUCAGGCAUAGAGUGGGGAGAUCGGGUGUUCGAGUCACUCACCGACCU